UGCCACCGAUAAAGCAUCCAAGCUAAAAUG
rnacentral:piRNA from 1 species